GUGAAUCAUCGAAUUUUUGAACGCAAAUUGCACUCUCCGCGGAGAGUACGCCUGUUUGAGGGUCAGCCCAUAAAAAAUCGACAUCGUUGCUGUUUCGCGGUUGCGGUCGUCGGAGAGUGGGUCAUCGUAAAUCCUUUUGAUUUAAGCGACUUAGAAUUUUCUUUUGGUUCCAUGAACGUGACUAAGAACUAUUUCUUUACACGUUUAAGGUGUCGAUUUGUACUAGACGUGACCAUCAUAUCGUAUCGCGUCC
rnacentral:misc_RNA from 1 species